rnacentral:rRNA from 1 species
UACGUGAGGGGCUAGCGUUGUCCGGAAUCAUUGGGCGUAAAGCGCGUGUAGGCGGUCCGGUAAGUCCGCUGUGAAAAGUCGGGGGCUCAACCCUCGAAUGCCGGUGGAUACUCGUCGGGCUAGAGUUGCGGAAGAGGCUGGAGGUGGAAUUCCUGGUGUAGCGGUGGAAAUGACGUAGAUAUCGAGAGGAACACCUGCGGCGAAGGCGGGUAGCUGGCCGACACUGACGCUGAU